UACGAAGGGGGCUAGCGUUGCUCGGAAUCACUGGGCGUAAAGGGUGCGUAGGCGGGUCUUUAAGUCGGGGGUGAAAUCCUGGAGCUCAACUCCAGAACUGCCUUUGAUACUGAGGAUCUUGAGUACGGGAGAGGUGAGUGGAACUGCGAGUGUAGAGGUGAAAUUCGUAGAUAUUCGCAAGAAUACCAGUGGCGAAGGCGGCUCACUGGCCCGGUACUGACGCUGAGGUGCGAAAGCGUGGGGAGCAAACAGG
rnacentral:rRNA from 1 species